GCCCUUACGACCAGGGCUACACACGUGCUACAAUGGCAUAUACAAAGAGAAGCGACCUCGCGAGAGCAAGCGGACCUCAUAAAAGUAUGUCGUAGUCCGGAUUGGAGUCUGCAACUCGACUCCAUGAAGUCGGAAUCGCUAGUAAUCGUAGAUCAGAAUGCUACGGUGAAUACGUUCCCGGGCCUUGUACACACCGCCCGUCACACCAUGGGAGUGGGUUGCAAA
rnacentral:rRNA from 1 species